rnacentral:tRNA from 1 species
GCGGGCGUGGUGGAAUGGCAGACACGUUGGUCUUAGGAACCAAUGCUUACGCGUGCAGGUUCGAGUCCUGUCGCCCGCACCA